CAAUGUUAAAGUAGCGUCUGUGGAAAGACUAACACGGGAGGCAGAAUAAACGUCUUUCAAAACACGAAUGGAUCGUGAGGACCUACUUUAACUACAUCACUCUGAAAUGAGAACUGGCCAGCCUUGUGGACUGAGAGACAUCAACAGGCAUCCUUGGUUAGAGUGGAGGGACAGAAAGUUCAUUCCUGAGUGACGGAGUCUAGUUCCGGAGGUGGAGUAGCUGUGACAGAGACACCACUCAUCCUAUUACAAGACACUGAACCGUCAACAUGAAGUCGAAGCUGCUAUUUAAGGUCGGACUGCUUCAGUAACGAGGGUCAGUACAAAGCUGGCUUUGUCUCGACACUGACCCUCGUAAAAGGGUCAGUCCCAACCAUAAGAGACCCAGGAACUGCACCCGAGCCACAGGUGUUCAGGCUACUGUGUCCUGCAAGGAUUUUGGUGUUGGGACAUCCACUGCAGACCCUUUCCGUUUUUCCUCAACACCUGUAAAGAGACCCUCAAAAAGACCUCGUCUGGAGCUUGAAGAGGAGCUGCAGGACGAUCCAUUAGAGGGCAGCUCUUCAGUGGCAGCUUCAAAGGGGCAGGAUCCCACCUAUGAUCCUGCAGAGUCCGUCACAGCGCUGUCAGAGUCAACACUUUAGUCACAAGAAUCAUCCGCUCCCACCCACAAGAUCAGAAAAUCCAUAGUCCAUUCCUGUCCGUGGAGCAGCGAUGCCCCCAUUGUGAUUUCUACACACACUGGAAUAGCCGGCCUAUCCAUGGGAGCACACCAGCUGGGAACCUCCACCUUUCGGCAGCUGGGUACCUGAGAGGUGCAUCCUUGAAAAUUGCACGGGUCUUCAAGGCGAUGGAGCUGCAACUUUUUCAGUACAACACAUUUCGCCGGCAUGCCAGAUCUUUCACUGAACCUGCAGUCAUUCACCAGCGGAAAACAUUACAGGAUGUGAUGCUGCAGCGGCUCAGUCAGGAGAGCAAAGUUCUAGUUGGUGGCGACAUGAGAGCCGACUCUGCAGAGCAAUGAGGCUGGUGGUAGUUACCACAUGGAAAAAGAGGGCCUGAGGAGGAGUCUGGCACUGCUGGAAGAACGUGGCAUUAAUCUUGACUGCAUUGUUACCAGCCGUCAUCCACAAAUUCAAAAGUUCCUCAGGGAGAGAAACAUCACCCACUACUAUGAUGUGUGGCACAUGGCAAAAGGGAUUUCAAAGAAAAUAGGCAAGAUCAUUAAGGAGAAAGAGUGUCAGAAACUACAGAAGUGGAUGAGAAGCAUCAACAAUCACAUCUACUGGACUGCAGCUGCCUCAUCCACUGGGCCAGAGAGAGUCGCAAAAUGGACCUCAGUCCUGAACCACGUGCAGGACGUCCACACACACGAUGACCCUCUUUAGCCCAAGUGCCUGCAUGAGCUCCACCAGACACGGGACAAAAACAAAUGGCUCAGAGCAGUCUUUGUUUUAUGAAUGUUUUAGGUGUUUCAACCUGACAAAAAGCUGUUGGCCAACAAAAUAACUCUGAAGGAUGUGGCAAAACUGAGCCCUCACCACCAGACUUCAUCUGUGGAGACAUUCCAUAGUGUGAUCGUUCGCUUUGCCCCAAAGAAUGUUGUUUUUCCCUUUAUUGUAAUGCUGUGCAGACUGUACCUGGCUGCCAUGUAUUACAAUGAAAAUGCAGACAGACCACAGGCCAAAACCCAGGAAGGUGUACCUCUCUACAAGGUCUACUUUCCAAAGGCUAUGAGGGGACAGUGCAGAGCCAAAGCCUACAAGACAGAGCCAACACUCCGUUAGUGGUAUGUCCCAGAGGAUUUGACCGCCCGGUAUGAACAUCCUGACAAGGAGGAGGUCAUUGCCAGUUAUGUGUCCAGGUUCAACCGAGGGCCAGUCUAAAUCCAACGUUGUGGCCUUCGGCAUCAGGAAACUCUCUGCGGAUGCGUAGGACCACACAAACUGGAAUGACUACCCGGAUUCUGCUUCCCAGGCAGCCCCAGCACCAGCUCACAAAACUGCCAUAUGGUAGAUACCUGUAACGACUAUAAACAAUGGACACAAUGUUUAGUCUUGUAGAAAUGUAUUUAAACUGUGUAUUACAAUUUUUCUAAUGUUGAUUGCCUGAUAGGUUUGCCCUGUGUUUGAAUUAUUGUUUAAUUAUUGUUUUGGGGUGCAUUGUUGCAUGUAAAUAAAUGCUUGUGUGUGUCUACAAAAA